UUUUUUUUUUUUUUUUUUUUGCCCAAAGAUUUACUACUACUAUUAUUCAUGUCCAUGGAGAGGAGGAAAAAGAGAGGAGGGGAAAGAGAGAUGAAAUACUCACAUUUCAGCCCUUGGUAGUUAGUAAAAAGAUUUAAAAUCAAUUAGCAUAUGAUCCAACAAUUCCACUUCUAGGUAUACACCCAAAAGAAUUAAAAUCGAGGUCUAAAAGAAGUAUUUGUACACCAUGUUCACAGCAGCAUUACUCACAAUAGCCAAAAGAGGAAAGCAGCUAAACUAUUCAUUGAUGGAUGAAUGGAGAAACAAAAUGUGUCCAGUAGGUACAGGAAAAAAUGCUCAACAUAGCUAAUUAUUACAGAAAUGCAAAUCAAAACUACAAUGAGGUACCACCUCAAAUGGGUCAGAACAGCCAUCAUUAAAAAGUCUUCAAGUAACAAAUGCUGGAGAGGGUAUGGAGAAAAGGGAAACUUCCUUCACUGUUGAUGGGAAUGUAAAUUGAUACAACCAUGAUGGAAAAUGGUAUGGAGGGUCCUCAGAAAACUAAAUAUAGAACUAGCAUAUGAUCCAGCAAUCCCACUCCUGGGCAUAUGAGAUAAAACUUUCAUUCAAACUACUGCAUUUGAUAAGCAAUGGGAUCAGCAAUGGGAUCCUACCGUACAGCACAGGGAACUAUGUCCAGUCUCUUGGGGUAGAACAUGAUGGAAGAUAAUAUGAGAAAAAGAAUGUAUUUAUAUGUAUGAGUGGGCUACUAUGCUGUACAGCAGAAAUCGACACAAACAGUAAGGUCAACUAUACUUUAAAAAAUAAAAAAGCACUAUUACUUAGCUUCAAAAGGAAGAAAACUCUAACACAUGCUACAAUAUUGAUCAACUUUGAGGACAUUAGGCUAAGUGAAAUAAGUCAGUCACAAAAGGAUGUGAUUUUGUGACUAGCUUAUUUGUGAUCUAGAGUAGAUAAAAUCAUAAAGACAGAAAUUAGAUUGAUGGUUGCCAGGGGCUGGGGGGAGUAAGGAAGGGGAAGCUCUUGUUUAGUGGAAAUGGAAUUUUGGUUUUACAAAACAGAGUUUCUAGAGACUGGCUGCACCACAACAUGAACGUACUUAACACUACCGAAAUGCACGCUCACAAUGUUAAGAACGUAAAUUUCAUGUUAUCUUUAUUUUACCAGAAUUAAAAAUAUUACUAUCACUGAAAAAAAUCAACCAUGAUGCCAGGCUUAUGGUAAGUGAUCCAAAAAAAUUAGCCAGUAUAAUUUGAAUGUAAUAUUCUCUUUAAUAAUUAACACUGCAAGGUUGAGGGGAGGUAGAAUUUUUUUGUUUACUUUUCCAACUGAAUAAACUAAGAAAGGAGGUAAGAUAGUUGUGUUCAUCCAGAACCAGUCCUAACUAUUGAACAGACUAAGUGUGACACAGUGUAAAAAGUUUCGAAUUGUCCUAGUCUUGAUUCUAUCAAUAACUGACUGAGUGAUCUCUAGUAAUUCACUUUGCUUCUCUGAAAUUGAGUUUCUACAACUAAAAUGUAGUUGUUACAAUGGAUCACCUCUAGACUUCUUUGCCCACAAAGAUGCAUUUUCAGAAAUUGUGAUUUAAUUUCACUUGCUUCGUAGUGCCAUGCAUACAUGUAUUCCUAGAGUCAAGAAGCUGCCGAAGCAAAUUACUACUGCUAUGGGCAUACUGUUGACUACAUAUAAGUUGCUGAAGUUUGAUUGCAUAGUAAUUACAUAACUUUAUAGGAUUUCCCUAAAUAAUAUUUCCAACUACAUGAGAAGGGAUAUGAGUAUAAUUGGGUACACAUCAUAAAAUGUGGGACUAGAUCAGUUUUAAGGCUUGACCGUUGGAUUGGACCAGCUGUCUACAGAUCAUUUAGCAGAGAACAUAGGGAAUAAUUUUGCCAAAGGAACUAUUAUUAAAUAUGUGAAAAAUCGAAACAUUCAGAUAAGAGUAUGUGGGUACAGAGUCUUAUAUAGUCAUUUACAUCUUUUGAGAACACAGCGCUUAUGAUAACAUUCUCCAAGUUGUCAUCCAAAUGUUGAUGAAAAUCUAAACACAUUACAUGAGCUUUGAAAAUCUCAAUAGAUAUGUACCAAAACCCUAGAAAAAGAUGUCAUUUGCACUUGUAAAAUCUGAUGAAAAAAGGGGAUGGGGAGUUCCCUGGUCUGGCUCACUGGAUUAAGGAUCCAGCAUUGUCACUGCCGUGGCUCAGGUCACUGAUGCAGCGUGGGUUCAAGCCCUGGCCCAGGAACUUCUGCAUGCCAUGGACAUGGCCACAAAAAGGGGGCUGAAUACACAAGUGGUAGUAUAUGAGUAAAGUAUGUAAACAUGAAAACACUUUCACUUGACAAUUUCAUAUGAAAAUUCAUCCAUAGAAAUAAAAUUCCUCACACAUAAAUGUAAAUGUUCAAUGAUGUUUAGUGGUAAAAGUUAUAAAUAUCUAGAAGUCUUAUCAGUUAAGGAGUGGAGAACUGCAGUCAUACCAUAAUAUCAUGUAGUUGUUUAAAAAACGAUGCAUUAGUGUGGCCCGUUUGUUACAAUUGAGCUGAUGUCAGUACAUUAUCAUUAACUAAAGUCCAUAGUUUACAUUAGCACCACAUUAAUGUAAGGUGUUUAUAACAGGGGAAACUGUGCGUGUGUGGGAGGAGUAUGUGAGAAGCCUCUACUUUUGCUCUAUUUUUCCAAAAAUCUAAAACUGCCCUCACAAUUGUAUUAACUUAAAAAAAUACACAAAUUAGUGGUAAAAAACUGAGUCAGAUGCAUGCUUUCUGAGUUGAAAAUGGAUCUUUACUGCUUUGAUAUAUUAUUAAAUGAGAAAGCUGGUUAAAGAUUGGCAUGUAUAAGUUGACUUGUAGGAAAAAUAUUAACAAAGGCACCCUAUAUAUUUUGAUUGUGAUUAUAUGAAAAUGGAGAAAUGAAUGAAAUAAUACACACCAGGCUACUGACCUGUUUAUUUGGAUGCAGAUAUGUGUCGAGAAGAUGGAGAAGAAAAAAAAUGACAUAAAAAUGGAAAAAUACAUGUGCUAUAUGAAUAAAUAAAAGUGAAAAAUACUUUUUCUAUUUUAUUAUUUAAAAAGUUAUAACAAGUGCAACAAAUAUGAAACUAAAUAUUCAUCAUCUUCCAUAAGUAUGGUAAACCUAUAAGCUCAGAUUUCAUGAUUUAAUAUGUAAAGGAAAGCUUUCAUAAUACAGAAAACAGACCUUUCGUAUUUCAAAAAAUCUUUCAGGACCAUGAUGUCAUCAUAUAUUUCAAAAUUAAUUUUGAAAUGAAGUUAUGAUGAUAUCUGCAACCUGUGGGGAGCUGCAGGAAAACCUGAUCUAUGAAAAAUUAAUUUAAGAGACCAGGUUAAUAUUUUUCAAAGAUAUUAUUUUUGUUAUUCAAGACAGAUAAUUAUAAAGCAAAGUUUUAUUCUCCCCAAUAAAAGUGAAGUAAAAUAAAUUUCUUUUAUUUAUAAGGAAAUACAGUAAGUUUUUCAUUAUGUUAGAUGUGUUUAUAAUCUUGUCUAUGUGGAUGAAAUAUUUCUUAUUGGUAAUCUUGGAAUAAAAGGUAAAUGGGUGAUAAUGACCUACUGUCAUGGCAGAGGGUUUCCUUACCUUAACUGAAAAGUGGUGACCUGCUAGCUUGGUUGCCCGUCCUUCAGGUUAUGAGGCAAGUACAAUGGAUUAGGGAGGACAAUGCUUCCUACCUCUGUCUACAUCCCUGGGUUCUCCAUUUCUCUACACUCAUCAUGAGUAAACACUCAAACUGACUCAGUGACACAUGGGAUACAAAGAUUUGAUGAAGAGUAUUGAGCCUGGGCUAGGUGCAAAGGGCUUUUUGGGGCCACAUCUGCAGCAUAUGGAAGUUCCCAGGCUACAGGUCGAAUCAGAGCUACAGCUGCUGGCCUACACCACAGCCACAGCAAUGCCAGAUCUGAGCCACAUCUGCGACCUACACCACAGCUAAUGCAAUACUGGAUCCUUAACCCACUGAGUGAGGCCAGGGAUCGAACUUGCAUCCUUAUGGAUCCUAGUCAGUUUUGUUACUGCUGAGCCACAAUGGGAACUCCUGCAAAGAGGGCUCUUAUAAAUAGAGAAGUCAUCCAAUGUUGGAAAGCCAGCUAGAGUUUGGGGUUUAAUCACACCUCUCACCCAUCUUAGGUAUUUGCACAUAAAAUUUCGACAGAUAGACAUUAAAAUAUCACUGUUAUGAUGGGUAGAACUGGUUUUAGAGAACAUGACUUGGAUUAAAAGACACAUGGACUUCCUUAAACUUUUCCACAUUCCCUCAAAUUGGAAUAACUACCCAAAUAGUUCCAGAUUCCAUAGCCUUCACCAUAGGAGGUGACCUCUUAUAAAAUAGGCAAACACACACACACACACACACACACACACACACACAAGUAUCUGCUAUUGGCAAGUUGCUCCAAAAUGGAGAAGGGACUGGACUGCACAUACAACUUCUCCCAACCUCACAAGUCAAGAAGAAGGUGAAGAGAGUGGCUUUAAGUGUCGCUUCAGUGGACGGCUCCUCAGGGAAAUAUGCUAACUGGGACUGGGAUUCUUUCAAGAGUAAGUGCACAAUAUCUCAAAGAGGUGAUGGCUGCAAAUAUUUCACACUCUGCUCUCUAAAAGCAAAGACGUAAAUAGGAGCAAGUAAGGGUGACUACUUAUAAAAGGAACCUCUAAAGUGUGUUGAAUACUAUUUAUUAUUCCAGCCUCCCAGUUCAGUAUGAUUCAAUUCAUUGCAAUUGAAGGCUCAAAAAGAAGGCUCAAUACCACACCAGGCAUAAAAAACCAUACAGAUGAAUAAAACAUGCUCCUACUCCUCAGUGAAUGUACAAUUGUUUACCUUUUCUUAGUAUAUUACACAAGCUUCCCAAAUCAUCUGACAGGCAAUUUUUUUUUAAAGUUUACCACUGUAUAACUGUUUCUAAAUUUGGUUUCUGGGAAUCAUACUCUGAAACACAGUGUAGCAGGCACAAGGGGAAGUCGAGUUCCAGUACUGGUCUAAUAACAAGAGAACUCUGGAGUUUAAGUGAAUAGGAAUGGAUAACCACCACCCCAUCAGUCACUGCAUGUGGGGCCCCUUGGGAAGGACAUGCCCUCAGGUAAGCUGAUUCUCUUCAGGUGAGGUGGCUGAAGUGGCUGGCAGUGGAGACCACCUACUGACAAGCUCCCUGCAGCUGGGUACCAUGUCCUUCCUCAAAGGAGUUCUGAGUAUUAAAUCUCCAUGUCCAUCAUAUCUAUACCUGCACUGCUUGGAGGCACUUCUUACAUAUGUGGGAAGAACUUUCCAAGGCAUUUGGUGGCCCCUCUUGCUGAGAGAAACCCAGAAGGAGGGGAUGGGAGCAACUACAGCUUCCUCCAUUGCAGCUGACUUUUGGGGUCACAACAAAUGGUCAUGGUCUCUCUCCUCCACUAUCCAUUCUAGAUGUCUCUAGAUUCAGCCAACACCUUUGCUGACCUCAGUGGCUUACCUGUUGUCAGGAAGAACGUAUCCCUGAGGGUGAUGGACUACAGUCACCAUGGCUCCUCAAAGUGUGAUCCUUACACUUGUCCAUUUUACAUCAUGAUACAGCAAGGGAGUGGCUCUAGCCUGAGAUCAACUGGAGCCAGUGUCCUCUUUUGGGGGACCAUAAGCUCAACUCUGCAGAGUUCAAAGUUGUGGGUAUGAGAACAAGUUCCCCAAGUGGGUUAUUAUAAGUGAGAGAGGGUAGAGAUGAUCCUGCUUCUAUCACUUGGUUCCUGGACCAUUCUAUUCUCACUGGGGCCACAGAACUGUACAAAAUUAUUUGAAACAAAGUACAUACUGCAUUCUAGAGUAUGAUGCUUCAGCUGUGUCUUGGGGAGGUGGUUCCAGCAUUCUGUGAGGCCAGCAGCUUCUGGAUGGUAUGAUUUGUGACAUGAUCGGUGGAUUUGAUGGCAUGAGCCCACUUACCAGUAUUAUUUACUGUAAAGUGGGCUGCCUGGUCUGCUGUGAUGGAAUGUGAGAUUCCAUACCAGUAGGUCAAACCUUUUGUAAGCCUUUGGACAGUGGUGCUGGUUGAAAGUCUGUAGCCAAAAGAGAAAAACCCAUACCCUGAAUAUAUAUCUGCUUCUAUCAAAACAAAUAGCUGGUCUGUGAUAAUGCAACUGUGAUACUUCUUGAUUCACAGGCCUAGGCCUAAAAGUGGGGGUUCCUUCAAUUCCCAAGUAUGUCUGCGACAAUUAUCACCCAGGUCUUAAAAGGGCAUCAUUGUGUUUUUUUUGUUUUUGUUUUUGUUUUUUGUUUUUUGUUUCUUUUUAGGGCUGCCCCCACAGCAUAUGGAAGUUCCCAGACUAGAGGUUGAAACAGCUACAGCUGCUGGCCUAUGCCACAACCACAUCAAUGUAGGAUCUGAGCUGCAUCUGUGACCUACACCACAGCUCAUGACAAUGCUGGAUCCUUAAUCCACUGAGUGAGGCCAGGGGUUGAACCUGCAUCCUCGUGGAUACUAGUCAGGUUCUUAACUUUCUGAGCCACAAGGAGAAUUCCUGUGGUAGAUUUCUGUGUUUAUCACACAUACAUUGUGCAGUGCUCUGAAUUCAGUGGAGUUUAUCACACGUUUACUAUGUUUUAAUAAAGGAAAUAAACUACAUUUCUGGUAAUUCUGCAUUGCAAGUGACUUCU
rnacentral:lncRNA from 9 species